rnacentral:rRNA from 1 species
UACGUAGGGGGCAAGCGUUGUCCGGAUUUAUUGGGCGUAAAGAGCGUGUAGGCGGCCAUACAGGUCAGCUGUGAAAACUCGAGGCUCAACCUCGAGACGUCGGUUGAAACCGUAUGGCUAGAGUCCGGAAGAGGAGAGUGGAAUUCACGGUGUAGCAGUGAAAUGCGUAGAUAUCGUGAGGAAGACCAGUGGCGAAGGCGGGUUUCUGGAGAGUUCCUGACGCUGAGGCACGAAGGCCAGGGGAGCAAACGGG